GCCUACGGCCAUACCACCCUGAGAACGCCCGAUCUCGUCUGAUCUCGGAAGCUAAGCAGGGUUGGGCCUGGUUAGUACUCGGAUGGGAGACCGCCUGGGAAUACCAGGUGCUGUAAACU
rnacentral:rRNA from 1 species